GCUAGUUGCACCUAUUGUAGAUAUAUAGCUAGCUAGCUAGCUAGUUAGCUAGAUAGAUAGAUACUUUAUUGAUCCCCAAGGGGAAAUCAUUUGCUGCCUAUUUCAAUAAACGCCUUGAUUCAGCAUGGUGGAUAGCUGCUGUGCGCCGGGAUGCCAGAACCAUCGGAAAAAAGAUAAUGGGUAGCAUUUUAUAGGAUUCCUAGCUAAAGAUCCCGAGAGAAGAAGUGGCUAAAUGGAUUGCUUCCAUAAAACGUGCUAGAAGCAAACAGAACCAAACCGAGCGAUGGGAGCCCACAAACAAUGGAUUUCGGUUAUGCUGUGACCACUUCAUAUCAGGGGAAAAGAGUGACAACUCUCUGUCACCUGACUACGUUCCUUCAAUCUUCAAUCAUGUUCCAUCCCCGGAGAAGA